GUGUGUGUGUACAGUGCUCAUGAAAUGUAUGUGUGUCAAGGAAACGUGGAUAUUGGUAAUGUCUGCUUUAGGCCCAGGUGUUUCCUGUCUUUGCAGGAGUGCAUGCUGGGUUCAAUGUCAGUGAGAUAGCUUGGCACUUCUAAGCUCGUUAUUGUUGCAGGCUGCUCUUUGUAGUUUUACAGGGGAGUAGUAUAUUUGCGUGAUGGCAGCUGUGUGUCCUUCGGAUAAUCAUGUUAUUGCACACAGGCUCUAGACUUGACUGUAACCAGAGCUUUGGUCUGCUAGUAACGCUUCAUAUUAGAUUAUUUAUAUAACAGCACUUCUGAUGACUUAUUAUGACGUCUGACGAGUUGACACUUGCAGGGCGAGGGAAGAGUAAAUUCAUUUUAAAUUGACCGCUCUUGCCCAGAAAUUUGUCAGUCGUUCAUCGCACGGUUGUGUUUUCAGUCAUCAUGAAACAGUUGUGUGCGCUACAGUUAAUUAUGAUUGCAUUUCGUAUCUUGGCUAGAAGACAACGCAUCCGCAGACAUCGAAUGUUAGCCAUUCUACUAUCAGACACUGGGCUGAGGACGUGUGGGAGGACUGCAUCACAAAUACAUGGGUUAGAUUCAUCUUAAUCUUUGGCUGCAUUCAUCCUGAAGGCGGAGGGCGCCUCUCAGUAGAGACCGAGGUGGAAAUAAUGCGAUUCGGAUACGUACCGACCUUCCUACAACAAGAGUCAACAGUCUUUGAGCCCAGCCUUGUACCAAAGACAUUUUGAUAAGAAUGCCCCAGUGGAUGAGUGGAUGCUGGCAGCAAUGACCCAAGCAAGAUGCAGUACAGCACCAACAACUGUUGCAGCGGGAGCUGCCUAGAGAAGUCCUACAAGGUGCAGUGAGUUGGAUUCAUCUUCACAUGAAAUCCACAUAACUCAUCAACUGGAACAGCAUGCAUGAAUGUUAGUGUACCACUUCAUUCAGGAUCCGCUGCUGAAAGGACAGCGCUGUUUCAUCUUGGCUGACGACUUCUAUGAAUGGAAGCAGGAGAAAGACAAGCAGCCCUUCAUCUAUUUCAGCAGCGUAGCCUAGUGGUUAGAGCGUUGGACUAGUAACCGUAAGGUUGCGAGUUCAAACCCCGAGCUGACAAGGUACAAAUCUGUCGUUCUGCCCCUGAACAGGCAGUUAGCCCACUGUUCCCAGGCCGUCAUUGAAAAUAAGAAUAUGUUCUUAACUGACUUGCCUGGUUAAAUAAAGGUAAAAUUAAAAUUUUCCCCCAGACUCAAGGACCCACUCAUGUGAAAACAGAGGACCAGGAUGAGGGGACACCCUAUAAGGAGGAUACAGACAUGCAUGUCUGAAGAAGGCUCUGUAGACCUGGAAGAGGACAAAGGUGUCUGUGAGUGGAGAGGAUGGCUGUUGCUGACCAUUGCAGGACUGUUUGACUGAUGGAGUCCCCAUAGUGGAGAUCCCCUCUAGACCUACACUGUGAUCACUCUGGGUACAUCCCCUAUCAUCAAGGCAUCCAUGACCGGAGCUCAAGCCCUCAGCUGGCAGUAAGAUGAUGAUGGGCUGGCUAAAGAGCAGCACACCCUCCAAGAGGAAAGAGCCAGACACUGGGGAAGUCAAACAGGAGGGCCACACAGGAGAAACCAGGCCUGAGAAGCAGCCGAAGACUGCAGGGCCUCUCCAACAGUGGCUGCAAGGACCCAUUAAGAAACCCAGGACCAACUGAGUGGUUGGGACAAACAUUGACUGACUUUGAAAAGAGAUGGGAACAGACUGAAGAAUGUAUGUCUUAUUGUCUUGAGGUGGAAGAGCGCAAAUGGUUUGAUUAUUUUUUAUGUCUGGUGUUGGUUGAAGAUAAUGUAAUUAAACGUUUGACAGAU